rnacentral:rRNA from 1 species
GACGAACGCUGGCGGCGUGCUUAACACAUGCAAGUCGAACGAAGUGGCGAACGGGUGAGUAAUACGUGAGUAACCUGCCCUCCGUUUGGGGAUAAGCCUUGGAAACGGGGUCUAAUACCGAAUACAGGGGGAUGGGCUAGCGGCCUAUCAGCUUGUGGGGGGGGUGAUGGCCUACCAAGGCGGUGCCGGGUAGCCGGCCUGGGAGGGUGACCGCGCACAUGGGGACUGAGAUACGGCCCAGACUCCUACGGGGGGCAGCAGGUGGGGAUAUUGUACAAUGGGCGAAAGCCUGAUGCAGCGACGCCGGGUGGGUGAUGAAGGCUUUCGGGUUGUAAACCUCUUUCAGCUAUGACGCGGUAGUGGCAGAAGAAGCACCGGCUAACUACGUGCCAGCAGCCGCGGUAAUAC